AGAGUUUGAUCCUGGCUCAGGACUAACGCUGGCGGCGUGCCUAACACAUGCAAGUCGAACGAGUUGUUUAUAGUAGCAAUAUUGUGAACAGCAAGUGGCGAACGGGUGAGUAACACGUAGAUAAUCUGCCUUUCAGACGGGGAUAACUCAGGGAAACUUGUGCUAAUACCCGAUGAGACUACGAGGGGGGACCUUCGCAGCCAAAGGUGGGCGAAAGCUCACGCUGGAAGAUGAGUCUGCGUCCUAUCAGCUAGUUGGUGGGGUAAAAGCCUACCAAGGCGAAGACGGGUAGCCGGCCUGAGAGGGUGAACGGCCGCACUGGGACUGAGACACGGCCCAGACUCCUACGGGAGGCAGCAGUGAGGAAUUUUCCGCAAUGGGCGCAAGCCUGACGGAGCGACGCCGCGUGAGGGAUGACGGCCUUCGGGUUGUAAACCUCUUUUAUUAAGGAAAAAGGCAAUCGUGCUAACACCACGGUUGUUUGAUGGUACUUAUUGAAUAAGCCCCGGCUAACUACGUGCCAGCAGCCGCGGUAAUACGUAGGGGGCGAGCGUUGUCCGGAGUUACUGGGCGUAAAGAGCGUGUAGGCGGUUGAAAAAGUCAGGUGUGAAAUUCUUCGGCUCAACCGAGGGACUGCGCCUGAAACCUUUCGACUGGAGUUCGGGAGGGGCAACUGGAAUUCCUGGUGUAA
rnacentral:rRNA from 1 species